rnacentral:rRNA from 1 species
UUGUUGGUAAGGUAAAAGCUUACCAAGGCUUCGAUCAGUAGCUGGUCUGAGAGGACGACCAGCCACACUGGGACUGAGACACGGCCCAGACUCCUACGGGAGGCAGCAGUGGGGAAUUUUGGACAAUGGGGGCAACCCUGAUCCAGCCAUGCCGCGUGAGUGAAGAAGGCCUUCGGGUUGUAAAGCUCUUUCAGCCGGAACGAAACGGUUACGGUUAACACCCGUGACUACUGACGGUACCGGAAGAAGAAGCACCGGCUAACUACGUGCCAGCAGCCGCGGUAAUACGUAGGGUGCGAGCGUUAAUCGGAAUUACUGGGCGUAAAGCGUGCGCAGGUGGUUUUGUAAGUCAGAUGUGAAAGCCCCGGGCUCAACCUGGGAACUGCGUUUGAAACUACAAGACUAGAGUGUGGCAGAGGGGGGUGGAAUUCCGCGUGUAGCAGUGAAAUGCGUAGAGAUGUGGAGGAACACCGAUGGCGAAGGCAGCCCCCUGGGUCAACACUGACGCUCAGGCACGAAAGCAUGGGGAGCAAACAGGAUUAGAUACCCUGGUAGUCCAUGCCCUAAACGAUGUCAACUAGUUGUCGGGCCUUUACGGGCUUGGUAACGUAGCUAACGCGUGAAGUUGACCGCCUGGGGAGUACGAUCGCAAGAUUAAAACUCAAAUGAAUUGACGGGGACCCGCACAAGCGGUGGAUUAUGUGGAUUAAUUCGAUGCAACGCGAAAAACCUUACCUACCCUUGACAUGUAUCGAAGCCCGCAGAAAAGCGGGGGUGCCCGAAAGGGAACGAUAACACAGGUGCUGCAUGGCUGUCGUCAGCUCGUGUCGUGAGAUGUUGGGUUAAGUCCCGCAACGAGCGCAACCCUUGUCAUUAAUUGCCAUCAUUUAGUUGGGCACUUUAAUGAGACCGCCGG